rnacentral:lncRNA from 1 species
UUUUAAUAUCUAUAUAAUUAUAUAAUAUCUAAUUAUAAAUAAUAUAAAAUCUAAUAAUAUAGUAUCUAUAUAAUUCUGAUUUCCAUAUACAUAUAUUUGGUUACAUAGAGGAAAUUAUAUAAUUCUGAUUCACAUGUACAUAUAUUCAGUUAUAUGGAAGGAAAUAUUAGCUAAAUGUCAAAAUUUUAGAAACUAUGCACAUGAAGGAGAAUGAACUUGGAAUAAAUAUACAUGAGAUAAUAGAUGAAAAACAAACAAACUGAUUCAAUAACCUUCAGCAAUGACUUCUAUCAACAUUUGGUCAAUACAUCUACUCUUCAAAUUUUACAAUAGUAAUAUCUUCAAAAAGUAAAAACCAAAUUAUAAAAAAUUAGUGUUUAUACUGUCACU